GGCAAUGAUGACCAACACAAGCAAAAUAUUUUGAAGGAAUCAAAAGAUGAUAAUUCUCAAGGUGCAGGUAAUUCAGGACAUGUAAAGGCCAAGGGGAAGAAAAGCAAAUCCAAGAAAAACAAGAAAAAGGGUAAGAAAUGAAAAUUGUCAGGUUUAUGUACAUGCAAAUGCUGUAGUAAUUUUUGUUUUUACACUUCAAACUGUCUGGUUAUGGUAUUAGCUGAAUUUGGAAUCUUUGCAACAAACUUUUGAAGAUUUAUUAUUGAUAUGAAAAUGCAUCCUUUUGUCAUCGAGCAAGGUUGGUGUAAUUUUGUCAAAGUCUCACCACUCUUUAUAUAGAUAGUGUUGGGAGGUAAACAAUGUUGUAAUCAAAACUAGUUUGAUACUUAAAUGGUGCUUUCUAUAUAUAUCACCAAUAUUAAUAUGAAAUAGAAUUUUCUUCAAAACUUGUUUCUGGGAU
rnacentral:lncRNA from 1 species